rnacentral:rRNA from 1 species
CCUACGGGAGUCAGCAGUGGGGGAUAUUGGACAAUGGGGGGAACCCUGAACCAGCGACGCCGCGUGAGUGAAGAAGUAUUUCGGCAUGUAAAGCUCUGUCAGCAGGGAAGAAAGCAAUGACGGUACCUGACCAAGAAGCCCCGGCUAACUACGUGCCAGCAGCCGCGGUAAUACGGAGGGGGCAAGCGUUAUCCGGAAUUACUGGGUGUAAAGGGAGCGUAGACGUCUGUGCAAGGCUGGAGUGAAAGGCGGGGGGCCAACCCCCGGACUGGUCUGGAAACUGUAUGGCUGGAGUGGAGGAGAGGUAUGCGGAAUGCCUAGUGUAGCGGUGAAAUGCGUAGAUAUUAGGAAGAACACCAGUGGCGAAGGCGGCUUACUGGACUGUAACUGACGUUGAGGCUCGAAAGCGUGGGGAGCAAACAGGAUUAGAUACCCCUGUAGUC